UGAUAUGGUAUAAUGCUAAUGAUGAGAUGUUGUAUUUCUUUUAUUCUUGUUGAUGUUCUAUUUGUGAUGUAAUAAUUGUGGUGUUUCUAUUGUGAUGCUGUGUUUGUGAUGUGAUGUGGUAUUUGUGAUGUGAUGUUGUUGAUGCAAUGUUAUGUUUGUGGUGUGAUAUAGUGUUUGUGAUGUGAUGUUUUUGAUGAAAUGUUUUGUUUGUGAUGUGAAGUGACUUGGUGUUUGCGAUGUCAUACGGUGUUUGUGAUGUAGUGUUUGUGGUGUGAUAUGUUUAUGAUGUAAUUUGGUGUUUGUGAUGUGGUGUUUUUGAUGUGAUAUGUUUGUGAUGUAAUUUGGUGUUUGUGGUGUGAUGUUUGUGAUGUGAUAUGUUUGUGAUGUUUGUUGGGUGAUCUUAGUAUAAUAUACUUACACUAUUAAUAUAUUGAUUUUUCAAAAAGCCUAACA